rnacentral:tRNA from 1 species
GGCACAGUGGUGCAGUGGGUAGCACUGUUGCCUCACAGCAAGAAGGUCCUGUGUUUGAGUCCUGGCCUGGGCCU